GAUGAAGAACGUAGCGAAAUGCGAUAACUAGUGUGAAUUGCAGAAUUCAGUGAAUCAUCGAAUCUUUGAACGCACAUUGCGCCCGCCAGUAUUCUGGCGGGCAUGCCUGUUCGAGCGUCAUUUCAACCAUCAAGCCCCCGGCUUGUGUUGGGGACCUGCGGCUGCCGCAGGCCCUGAAAACCAGUGGCGGGCUCGCUGUCACACCGAGCGUAGUAGAUUUUCAUCUCGCUCAGGGCGUGCUGCGGGUUCCGGCCGUAAAAAGCCUUAUUUACCCAAGGUUGACCUCGGAUCAGGUAGGAAGACCCGCUGAACUUAAGCAUAUCAAUAAGCGGAGGA
rnacentral:misc_RNA from 1 species